GACGAACGCUGGCGGCGUGCCUAAUACAUGCAAGUCGAACGCAGUGGGGACGGGUGAGUAACACGUGGGUAACCUACCAUCAGAGGGGAUAACACUUGGAAAAAGGUGCUAAACCGAUAUUGAUGGAUGGAACCGUGGGGCAUUAGCUAGGUGGUGAGGUAACGGCUCACCAAGUCAACGAUGCAUAGCCGACCUGAGAGGGUGUUCGGCCACACUGGGACUGAGACAUGGCCCAGACUCCUACGGGAGGCAGCAGUGGGGAAUAUUGCACAAUGGGCGCAAGCCUGAUGCAGCCAUGCCGCGUGUAUGAAGAAGGCCUUAGGGUUGUAAAGUACUUUCAGCGGGGAGGCGUUACCCGCAGAAGAAGCACCGGCUAACUCCGUGCCAGCAGCCGCGGUAAUAC
rnacentral:rRNA from 1 species